AGAGCUUAUAAUAAUGAAAAAUAACAAUAGUUGCAUAUCAAUGCUCUGAACAAAAUGCUGAGGAACACGUUGGUAAUUUAUAAAAUAAUAACCUUAUGUUGAUACCUAAACUGUGAGAGCAGUGUCUGGAGGAAUGAAUCAUAAAAUAAUUAUCUUGUAUCUAAAAAGCUUUGGAAGAAAGGAAUGCUGAAGGCUGCCCUUCCCCCUAGUCUGGAGCCCACUCUGCCUAGUGACCCCAGAACGCCCUCACUAUUACUCAUCCUAACUCUCACCCAGGACCCAUUACCU